AUUUUUAAAUUAUGGUGAAAGGCUCAUUUCAGCAACAGCCAUAUUUGUUAUACAGGGAUUGGUAUCUUACAUAAAAGCACACCUCUUUUAAAAAAUACUGGUAAUGUUGAUUAAGUUCUUCUUAUUACAGUCUUUAAGAUUAUAUAAAAUGACACUACACCAGUGGAGUUUCAGAGAACUAAGUGGUCAUUCGUUACUUUUCCUUUAUUUCUCAUCAGUUUUGACAAGUCAGCCUCACAAGAGUUUUCUCUUCAAAACAGAGAGCAGCUGAGGAUGGAAAAGGAACAAAUCUUGGAGAAAACCCUUCACAGGACUCCAAGUGGGCUGGAUUCAUGUGGUGGAGAACCAGAUGUGUUUGGAUGGCUUUCAGGGCUCCCCUCAAGACCACCGGCCAUCAAACUUUAACAUCAUAGCAGAGAGCCCUGCUCAUAUCUCUAGUUCAGUGGGUAAUCACUGAGAAUCAAAGACCCCCAAAGAGGAGACCCCCCUAGUGACUCCAGACAGCAGCUGAUGGAGGUGGAGAGGAUGUUGCUGAGGACCAGUCAGAGGAC